UAAUAUAAUUAAAAGAAAUCAAAUGAGACAGAUUAUCACUGUAAUCACUCACCUUUAUAAAUAAAACACACAUUACAUAAAAGCCAAGUUUCACCAAUGAGCUUAAAUGAGACAGUCUCAACCAAGUUUCAGCAACAUUACUAAUACAAUUACAUUAAAAACAAAUAUCACGAAGACCAUCCCCACUAAGACUUUCAACCACUUUUCCAGCUUAACUAAAGUUUUCUCUACAAAAGUCAUUCUCAUUUUUUCACCAUAUGUUUCUUCCAUUUGCAGCAUAUUGUGUUCCAUGCUCAUCACACCCACUUCUUCAUUUCUUACACUUUCACUUCUUUUUAUUUCAUUCACCUCAUCUCCUUCUUUAAUGCACCACUGAAAGAAGUUGCAGUCAAUCAAAUCUUCACUCCCACCUUGUUCAACAAGAAGACCCAUUCCUUCGUCAAAACCCAAAUAAAUAGGCAAAGAUUUAUGCUUAUGUAAAAUGGACCUUGAAGUUAGGGCAUCCCCAGAUUUUUUUUCCCCUUGUUUUUAGGGGUUCUCGCAAUGCG
rnacentral:lncRNA from 1 species